rnacentral:rRNA from 1 species
UACGUAGGUGACCAGCGUUGUCCGGAUUUACUGGGCGUAAAGAGCGCGCAGGCGGUCGUUCAAGUCGAGUGUGAAAGCCCCCGGCUCAACUGGGGAGGGUCACUCGAUACUGAUCGACUUGAAGGCAGGAGAGGGAUGCGGAAUUCCAGGUGUAGCGGUGAAAUGCGUAGAUAUCGGGAGGAACACCGGUGGCGAAGGCGGCAUCCUGGACCGGCAUUGACGCUGAGGCGCGAAAGCUAGGGUAGCAAACGGG